UUCCAGACUCCUACGGGAGGCAGCAGUGAGGAAUAUUGGUCAAUGGGCGGAAGCCUGAACCAGCCAAGUCGCGUGAGGGAAGAAGGCCCUGCGGGUCGCAGACCUCUUUGGACGGGGAGCAAGGCCGCCGACGCGUCGGCGGAAGGAGAGUACCCGUAGAACAAGCAUCGGCUAACUCCGUGCCAGCAGCCGCGGUAAUACGGAGGAUGCGAGCGUUAUCCGGAUUUAUUGGGUUUAAAGGGUGCGCAGGCGGCACGGCAAGCCGGCGGUCAAAUCGCGGGGCUCAACCCCGCCCAGCCGUCGGAGCUGCCGGGCUAGAGUGGGCGAGAAGUGCGCGGAAUGCGUGGUGUAGCGGUGAAAUGCAUAGAUAUACGGAGGAACACCAGUGGCAAAGGCGGAUUGCUGGACAGUAACUGACGCUGAGGCGCGAAAGCGUGGGGAGCAAACAGGAUUAGAUACCCGAGUA
rnacentral:rRNA from 1 species